rnacentral:rRNA from 1 species
CUACGUGCCAGCAGCCGCGGUAAUACGGAAGGUCCAGGCGUUAUCCGGAUUUAUUGGGUUUAAAGGGAGCGUAGGCUGGAGAUUAAGUGUGUUGUGAAAUGUAGACGCUCAACGUNUGAAUUGCAGCGCAUACUGGUUUCCUUGAGUACGCACAACGUUGGCGGAAUUYGUYGUGUAGCGGUGAAAUGCUUAGAUAUGACGAAGAACUCCGAUUGCGAAGGCAGCUGACGGGAGCGCAACUGACGCUUAAGCUCGAAGGUGCGGGUAUCAAACAGGAUUAGAUACCCUGGUAGUCCGCACAGUAAACGAUGGAUGCCCGCUGUUGGUACCUGGUAUCAGCGGCUAAGCGAAAGCAUUAAGCAUYCCACCUGGGGAGUACGCCGGCAACGGUGAAACUCAAAGGAAUUGACGGGGGCCCGCACAAGCGGUGGAGCAUGUGGUUUAAUUCGAAGCAACGCGAAGAACCUUACCAGGUCUUGACAUCCCUCUGACCGCUCUAGAGAUAG